rnacentral:rRNA from 1 species
UACAGAGGGUGCAAGCGUUGUUCGGAAUUAUUGGGCGUAAAGCGCUUGUAGGCGGUCUGUUAAGUCGCGUGUGAAAUCCCCAGGCUUAACCUGGGAAGUGCGCGCGAAACUGGCGGACUUGAGUGCCGGAGAGGGUCGCGGAAUUCCCGGUGUAGAGGUGAAAUUCGUAGAUAUCGGGAGGAACACCAGUGGCGAAGGCGGCGACCUGGACGGACACUGACGCUGAGACGCGAAAGCGUGGGGAGCAAACAGG